ensembl:lncRNA
CUGGUCCUGGGCUCUAUUUCACAUUCGUCGGGAGGUUCCUCAGCACUCUUGAGACCCAAAGCUCAAGAGCUACAUGCGCUGACUUCCUCCCCCAUCCCUCACAUCCCCACACAUCCACAGCUGUCGGGAUGGUCAUGGCCCUGAAGGGGGUCCCCCAGGCAGCGUCUCUGGUACGGGCUAAAAUGGUCCUGCAAGACAGGAGGUCCAGCAUCUACAGCAAGCCACCCAAGACCAAGAUCGGACCUGGGGUGUGCGCCCUAACAAGCUGUCUGGUGACCUAGAGGCCGGAGAGGGAGCACACGCAACAGCAAAGCUUCUUUAUCAUGUCCGUCUUUGCUGUCGGCAUGCUUGCUCCGGCCGGCUGGAUCAUGCACCACAUCCCAGAGUACCGCCAAAGACCACGUCCUUCAUCAAGACCGUCGUAAAGAAGAAGACCCCAACAUCUUCACACACACACACACACGCACGCUACAAACCACGGCUGUAUUCAACAUAUUAGCCACCAUGCUAUCAAAUACUGUACCUUGCUAAUGUAUAACAACACACAUUAUCUACAGUAUAAAUGAUACUCAAUGGCCACAAUAAUAACGGGAAAAUAACAUGCACUUUGAAGGGACCAUGGAAGACAUUUCUGCAUGACUGUCAUGAGUAUGUUUUUGUAUGAUGUCUUUUUUUUAUUUUAAAUAUUCUGAGUAUUGCAGUAGCAUGGUGUCUAAUGUCUCAUGAAUAUGGCCCCUAAUGUCACUGCUGCAUCCAGUUGCAAUGACACGUCUGUAAAACUGCCAACUCACUGCCAUCAUCAAUAAAUACAUGCUGUGUUGGCAA